GGAUGAAGAACGUAGCGAAAUGCGAUAAGUAAUGUGAAUUGCAGAAUUCAGUGAAUCAUCGAAUCUUUGAACGCACAUUGCGCCCGCCAGUAUUCUGGCGGGCAUGCCUGUUCGAGCGUCAUUUCAACCAUCAAGCCCCAGGCUUGUGUUGGGGACCUGCGGCUGCCGCAGGCCCUGAAAACCAGUGGCGGGCUCGCUGUCACACCGGGCGUAGUAGAUUUUAUCUCGCUCAGGGCGUGCUGCGGGUCCCGGCCGUUAAAAGCCUUUUUUUACCCAAGGUUGACCUCGGAUCAGGUAGGAAGACCCGCUGAACUUAAGCAUAUCAAUAAGCGGAGGA
rnacentral:misc_RNA from 1 species